rnacentral:lncRNA from 1 species
UUUAAUCCCAGUUAAAAACACACUGUUGGGAGUGAGGUAGUUUACUUUUUCUUCCAUCUCAGCUAGAGGCGUCCAAAGUCAUUCCAGGGAAACCGUUGGAUGCCCAGCAGUGUGCUUUGCGCUCGUGGAGACCCUGAAACAAACAUUCUUCGCACUGUGGCUUAAAUACACGACCGUACGACGUGUUUCUUGUCUGCGGUCGUAUGUGCAUGUGGGAUGGCGAGUGUGAGAGGGCUUAGACCAGGCAAAAGAGUGGUGAUGACCAGCCAGUGGCGCAAUCGUGGCCUUUGGAUUGCCAAACGGCGGGGGUUGAAGCCAAGGAGGUUUCAGAUGAAGUUGAGACUGCGGAGAUCGUCCUGAAGGCCACGUACAUCUGUAGAGCAGAUGGCUUCCGGGCUCUCUUCUCCACUCAGGCCCUGAUUUCCCGGCCUUCUGUGACAUUACUAUGGGGGUAUGCUUCUUCUACAGAAGUAUGUGAAAUGGAGAACAACCAAAACUUUCGGACAGGUAGGUACAAAGGUAUUAAAUAGACUUUUUAAACAAGAGGCAGGAGAAAGAGGGCCACGAUGAGCUAGAAGGCGGAGCUGAGGGAGGAAAGCAUCCAAAGUGUGGCUUCAAGGCCAGAUGGGGGUUUGGAGGUCACCCUGACGCGCCAUCAGGAGGGGCUCCACCUGCAAGGAGGCGGGGGGGCCUGCUUGGUGCCCUUGAAGGCCGACCGCAGGUGCACCCUUACAAAAGUUACAUUUGCUUUUGGAAUCCGAGUUCUAGAGCAAGAUUGCCCACAAAGCACACGUUGCUACGCUGAGCUCCGUUUUAGCGACGGGCAUCGCACAGCCCACAGCCCGAGUUGAUUUUCUGGUUGGGGGAAACCUUCAGAUCUCGGCAUCGUCGAUGCCUGAUGCUUCUAAUCUCUGACACCCUGCUAGCUCAGG